rnacentral:pre_miRNA from 1 species
AUCGUCCGUCGCCUCGGCGGAGGCCGGGGCCGCCAGAGGCUCUUGCUGCAAUGCCUACCCGCAUUCGGUAGCGGCCCCGGCCUCCGCCGGGGCGACGGUAAUG